GGGCAAGUGGCGGAAUCGGUUUACGCGUACGGCUUAGGACCGUAUCCCGCAAGGGAUGUGGGUUCGAAUCCCACCUUGCCCACUA
rnacentral:tRNA from 1 species